UACGGAGGGUGCAAACGUUGCUCGGAAUCAUUGGGCGUAAAGCGCACGUAGGCGGCCAAUUAAGUCGGGUGUGAAAGCCCGGGGCUCAACCCCGGAAGUGCACUCGAAACUGAUUGGCUUGAAUAUGGAAGAGGGUUGCGGAAUUCCCGGUGUAGAGGUGAAAUUCGUAGAUAUCGGGAGGAACACCAGUGGCGAAGGCGGCAACCUGGGCCAAUAUUGACGCUGAGGUGCGAAAGCGUGGGGAG
rnacentral:rRNA from 1 species